rnacentral:rRNA from 1 species
AUGCUGUCAUGCUUUGCCAUGGAGGUAAAUGAGCCGAUGUGUACCAGGGAAUAUGCAUAUACACCACACCUAAUCCACCACUAUUUUCUUGUGGCGACUGGCGAGGAGAAGAUACAAAUGCCUUCAAAUCCACCACUUAUCCCCACUACUAUUUCUUUGGCCAAUGACCUGGGUUUCCAUGUACUUGAUAGAUAUAUACUUUCCUUAUGCUAUGUGUUUUAUGUAUGCAUAUAUGUUUCUGGCCAUAAAUAUAUUUAUGAGCUGGCUCCAACUUUUACAACUUUCCGUGGAACUUUGAAAAGUACCCUUUAA